rnacentral:misc_RNA from 1 species
CGCAGCGAAGAGGCCCUUAUCAGCCCCCGUGGCCCUCCAGGGGUGGCUGCACAAGCAGGGCUCCGAGGGCCUCAUGCUCUGGAAGAAGCGGUGGUUCGUCCUCUCCGAGUACUGCCUCUUCUACUACAAGGGUCCCGAGGAGGAGAAGCUGCUGGGCUCGAUCCUGCUGCCGUCUUAUCGGGUGACGAUAUGCCGCCCGGAGGACAAGGUAGCCAAGAAGUUCGCCUUCAAGGCCGAACAUGCGAACAUGAGGACGUACCUGUUCGCGGCAGACUCUCGGGAGCGAAUGAACCAGUGGGUGAACGCCCUGACCCUGGCGACGCUCCUCCAGGACCCGAACCCGGGUGGAGGCGAGGCACCUGUCGCCCUGGAGAUCGCUGGACCAGCGGAUGGCGAGAGAAGCGCCAGACCCUCCGUGUCGUCCAUCUCGUCGAUUCUGAACCAGAGUGCCGACGACAGCGACUCCGGGUUCCACGGGUUCCAAUCCAGGGAUGAUCCGAGCCAUGCCUCGAACAACAAUUCCAGCCCGAACAGCGCGAACACCGCGUCCUUUCCAAAUCUCAGCACCAAUGGGAGCAGCGGGACCGGUCAGGAUGGCCAACCUCAUCCGCUGAUCAAUGGAUGGAUGCAGCAACCGUAUGCACAGGCUGGGACCUCCCAGCAACAUCAGGUGCAGCACCAGGUCCAGCAUCCGGGACAACUUCAGGUGCAGCAUCAGGUUCAGCAUCCGGUGCAGCAUCAGGGACAACAAGUUCAGCAUCAGGUGCAGCAUCAGGGACAACAUCAAGUUCAGCAUCAGGUUCAGGUCCAGCAUCAACACCAGCACCAGGUGAACCCUCCAUCGUCCCCCCAGCAGCAAUUCCAGCUGCAGGUCCAUCCACACCAGCACCUGCCGCACCAGUACAAGCAACAGGUGCACCAACAGCAGCAGGUACAGCAGGCAGCAGGGCCCAGCAACGUGCAGACGGUGCAGCCCAUGCCAAGGAACUUCGGCCAGCCGGUGUAUGCAAAUGCGCCCCCAAAGCCCAGAAGACUGACCGAUGGGUCCAACGACUAUUCCACCCCAUCCCCAGACCCUGACUAUAGACGGUCCCCGGUGUCUCCUGAUGUCAGGGUUGCUGCGAAAAGUCCGAUUGCUGAGUACGAGAGGAAUGGACCGGUGUAUGUCGCCUCCACCAGGAUGCCGGGAGCGCUGAGGACUGAUAGAUCAGGACUCAAUUAUGGGUAUGGGCAGGUGCAGUCCACCGAGAGGAGGACUCCGGAUACUUAUGGGAGGAGUGCUAAACCUAGGGGUUCCAGACCUAGUGGGGAUUAUGAGGAUGUGUAUGCAGGUCCUCAGCUGUAUCAGCGACCUGCUGGGCCGGUUGGGUACACCAAGGCUCCUACACCUGCGCCGAUACCUAUUCCUGGGUAUGGGCAGCAACAUCCCCAGAUGUACGUCCCGGCUCCGAGCAAUGGUCAGCCCAGGCAGGUGAGGGUCCAGCCACCACCCCGACCCCAUAGUGCGGACUUCCUGGAGUACGAGGCGACCAGGAGACCCCAUCAGCAGGUCCCCACAUUUGCCGAGGACCUCUCCACCCAGCAGAGGAGACCUCAGAGACCCAAGUCCAGCCUAGACAUCGUCAACCCCUCGGACGUGUCCCCCAGCGAUGGUUAUUUCUACUCGGAGGAGAGGUACGCCGCCCAGAUGCGCCAGUCGGCGGUUUACCUGCACCAGACUCCCCAGCAACAUCAGCAGCAGAGGAACCAGUCCCUCUCACGGGCCGCGACGCCCUCGAAGACGACGUCGACGAGGGACGUCGAGCCUGCCAUUGUUCCGGGCCUGGAUGGGUCCUGUCCUGCUCUGAAGAGGUCCCUGAGAGAGCACGGCCAUCAGCAGCAGGUUCUCUCGCAGUCCCUGCAGAGGUACUCCGAGAUGUCCAGCAACGAGGCGGUGCUGAGGAGGUCGCUGAGGGAGAGGAGCUACGAGAUGCCUCUUCAGGAAGGGGGAACCGUGCCCAGAAGAGCGCAGAGAGACUACGAGGUCACCAAUGGUAGGACUUCGAUGGGACACCCUGGACAUGCGGUACUCGUUGGUCAGGGCCAGUACCAUCAUAGCGGACAUGGGUCCAGGCGCUGGAACGAGCAAGUUCUUCAGCACCAGCAGCAACAAUUCUCCAGGUCGGCCUCUGCUCGACUUCCAAGGACCAGGCAUCCUGCAGGGGGAGACCCUGAAGAAAACCCUUACGAGCAGUCUCCGAGCCAGGAUGCCAGGGACGGAGAGCGGAAGAUCCAGCAGCGCGAGGAGUCCAUGAAGAGGUUGCUGGAGUGGAAGCAGAGGAUGCUGCAGUCCCCGCUGACGAGGAAGCCCUCGGGAUCCGCCCACCGUUCCUCCGGGCCGAACGAGCUCUCCAGCUACUACAAGAGACAGGCCCUCCUGGACCUCGCCGCCCACGAGGCGACCCUCGCCGAGGCCCGGCACUCCCGGCGUCGCGACGACGGGCAUCGGUCCCACCCCAGGAGCAAAAGCUCCGAUGGCCGCCGGUCUGCGAACAACGUCUCCAGAUACAACAGCUACUCCAGCGACGACGAAGCUUCCGGCUCGGGAUCGGUGAUCGGACGGGACCCUCUUCCUCCCAGGGCGGUGAGCACGUCUCAGCUGCCCCAGAGGACGCUGACGCAGCCUCCCGCGGGGCUGUCGACCCUCCCGCUAUCGAAGACCCCGUCCAGGGCCAUCGACGUCCAUCGACAGCCACUUCCGGUGCACCAGUCGACGCCCCAGGCUUCCGGACGCCAGCUCGACCGCGUCGAGAUCCUCCGCGCCGCCAGCAGCGGCGACGUCCGCCUGUGCCCGACCUCGUCGCAGGAAAUCCUGAAGGACCUGCCCAGACAGAGGGUGGUCAGUCCCGCGGGAGUGGCCAGGACUCAGGUCGAGCACAGAGUGUCCAGCCCGAGUGACUCCGAAAUGCAGCCGCAGAGUCCCGGGGAGAGGAGGACGAGUCCAGCCAGCAGAGAGGUGGACCGAGGUGGAGGGCCCAGACAUCAUCCCCGAGGAUCUCGACCCGGCAAGGACCUCUCCCAGAAAGGGCAGCAGCGGCGACCAGGAAGUGCAGGUGGACUGGUUCAAGUAUCGGCUGGUGAACUUUUAGGCAGGACCCAUGAAGAGCUGGUCCUCUUGCUGAUCCAGCUUCGGCGACAGAGUGCGACACUCUGCAAGGCGAUGGAGACUUGCCACAUGGAGAUAGAAGCGCAGGCCAGACUGGCGGAGCUCGACACUCCUCGGAGGCUGGAGAACUGGCAGAAACUCGAGGAGCUGCAGAAGCACCUGAUGGAUCUCGAGAAACAGUACGAGAAGGGGAAGCCCCUGGUGAACCUCGUCGAUAACAUGGUGAAGCUCGGCUCUCUUUAUAACCAUGGGAACCACCCCAAUGGGACCGUCGGUGGGUCUCGACAGGAUCUUCUUCAUGGUCUAGAUCCUGCCAAGGAACACCGGGAUAGAUUGGAGUUCAACCAGAGGGUCCAGGAACAGAGGCUGUUGGCAGAGGAACGCAGAGAUUGGGAUAGGCUGAGCCCUGACCACGGACAACUUCAGGCGAAGGUGCAGCAGCUCUACAAACUGGACCGACUUUUACAAGAGGAAUCCGGUACACUUCACAGUCUCCAACAGGACAAGGAGAUCCUAGAGAAGGCCCUGGGAGGUCUCAGGCACAAGAUGCAGAGCAGUAGAAGUAAUCCCGUGGAGACUGAGAGAUACAGGAAGCAGCAACUCCUGCUGGAAAGAGAGCUCAGCAGGGUGAGGCUUCUCUUGGCCCACAACUCGAAGAAACUCGAGGAAACCGUGGCCGAGAACGCGAGGCUGGAGCAAGAGCUGGUCGUCCUGAGGCAGAAGCUGCAGGCGUCCCGAAGGUACGCCGGGAACAUGGCGAGAGAUCCCUCGGGAACCACCGCGGCCCUUGAGGCGGAGCUGAGGAGGGUCCAGCAGCUGGUCGGAGAUCUGCAAAGACAGAGACAGGAGCUGAGUGUCCAGGUCCGACAGCUCACCGAGAAGUCUCACAGCCUGGUCCAGCAGAUCAGACCUCAGUCUGCUGCAGCUCCCCAGGUUCACCAGUCAAAGAAAAGGACUCACAGCUCCUGGCUGGAGACGGACCUGGAUUCUGGGACCACCCUGGACCACGGUCUGGAUUCACCCUCGAGUCCUGCUCUCUCGACAUCUCCCAGAAGUGGGCAAAACUCUCAUCAAGCCUCCCCGAGGUUCAAGGACCCUCCGGCGCCCUACAAGGAGAACUUCCCCAGAUACUCUCCUCCGAUCCAGGACUCCCAGUCCUUCGGUCAGACCCUUCCAUCUCAGAAUCACAUCUCAGCCCUGUCUCCUCAGCUUCGGGAGCAGAUCCAGCAGCACCAGCUCAAGCAGCAGCAGCUGAGGGACCGGAUGCAGGGAAAAGGAAGUCCGGUGCAGGCCAAUGUCGCCCCUCUUUACGUCAACACGGAAUCAAGAAGACAAGACGUGCCGAAACAUGGGGAAGUUGGAUUGAGCAAUGGACCAAUCCCCCCUCCGGAGUAUGUCCCUCCUCCACCCCCACCUCCCAGCGAGGAGGCUCUUCUGGUGAACGGAGGAGUCUAUGGACAUGCCGAAGAGAACAAAUUCCCAGGUCUGCUGCACGGCCGGGAGAAACAGGAGAUCAAGACGGUGCGCAUCGUGAAACGCGAGUCGGAGCGACGUCAGAGGGACCGAGGAGAUCGUACAGGGAACCUGGGUAUACCAUUGACGAACGGACUGCCGGUCCCAGGAGGAGCCAAGAGACUGGCCGAAGAGGAGUCCUCCCAGCAGCUGGAGAAGGCACAACUCGGCCGAGUGGUGGAGGAGUCCCCGAUGACGCACGCCCAGAGCACGGUGCAACUCUCAGAGUUGGACGAGGUCCAGUUCCAACGGAGCAUGUCGCUUCCCCGAGGUUUCGGUGGUCAGCGACCCCAGCCUGGGAUCCACCAGGGUCUUCUUCAGGGCCCGGUGCCCCCUCCGCCGCGGAGCGACAGCAUGAACGCCCUGAGGAACAUGAUGGCCCGUCGACAUAGAGUCAGGCAGUUUGAGCAUCAGGACGCCAGCUCGGACAGUACCCUCUCGCCGUACACGGAGAGUCCGACCUCGACCUCGAUGGCGAACAGCUCGCCGAACUACUCGACGAGCCCAUCAGCCUACAGCCCCAGCCACCAGAAUUAUCAGGCCCAGGGUGCAAGGGCGAUCUCGAACUACCUCCAGGUGGGACCUUACGGGUCCAUUCCCUCGCUCGCGAAGGAAGGGAACCAGGUGCCGGGGAAUUCCACAGCGGUUUCCCCGGUUCCACCUCGAGACCGGUUCUUCGGGUCCGCGGCCAGCAUCAACAGCCUCUCCGAGAGUCCACAAUUAUCUCCCGUCUUCAAGAGCGAGGCUGCCAGGCAGAUCAUCAAGGAAAUGACCGAGAAGAGGUCCGAGGGCCCCAGGAGGCGACAAGUGCCCAAGGAGAAGAGGAGGCACUACACCGUCUCCAGCAGCAAACCUGUCUUCGACCUUGAAGACACGUUUUCCAAGAUGGGCAUGGGCAGGGCUAGGGACGACCUGGACAUGGAAAGGGCCUUGAGGCCCAGGAUCAACGCUCCUGAUGUCGUCAGGUCUACUCUCAGUCACAAGGAACUGAAGUAUAACGAGAGCACCAUUGAUCAGCUCCUGGGCACGCCGAAUAAGAUCCUGAUUCCGGAGCGGUACAUCCCUGAACAGACUCCCGAGUUGAGUGCGGAAGAGCAAGAGCACAGGCUGAAGAAGGCGGAGUCCAUUAGGAAGAUGCUCUCGGAGACUGCCGUGACUGCUCCAGAAGGAGGCGGUGAGGACUAUCUCUUGCUCGACGACGAGAUGGAGAAGUCGGACACCCUGAAGAAGAAGGUGGCCGAGGAGAAGCGACAGAGGGAACACAUCCUCCAGCUGAAUCAGAUCCUGGCUAAGCAGGUAACCAGGCGCACUGACUGACAUGCUUCCUCCAUCUUCCCAUGUAGGACACGCACAUCACAUUACCGUAUUUCAGUUCAAGCCCUGGCCACGCUGCCCUUGAACCAGGAGCCGAGCUUCGACGAGGACGACCUGUCCCCGGUUACACCACUGCCUUUGUACCAACAAAGAGAGAAUUAUUACUCGUAAACCGAGAAAUAAUUCCUAGAAGGAACGACGGAAAUACCGAAGACUAAACCUACUGCCAGAACCUUGGAAUUAUUUCUGAUAAUGCACAAUUAGUCUAACGCCACGCGGACUGAUGGGAGAAGAGGAAGAGUCCUUGGAAAUGGAGAUAAUGGUAACUCGUAAAUUUCACAGAGUUCUCCACGGUAACGAAAAGCUCAGGAUGAACACGAGGAGGUCUCUGUCCCCGCAUUUAAUAAUUAGCAAUUAAUAUUUGUGACCACACCGCGACCGAAAGUGUACAGUCAAUAGGGUCUAGCCUAUAAGUUAAGCUAACGAUUUAAUUAAAUAAUUAAGAUUAACUUAGGCAUAGGCAUCCCAGGACUGUUGGUUAUCACGUUAACGAACGAGCCUCGUACUUCUCUUAUCAUCUUUUCCAUUUUUUUCUCCUCUCUCUCUAAAUUUUAUCACUGCGGAAUUUUAUUCCUGGAAGUGUAAGAAAUUCUGAUUAAAAUCCGGCACGUCGUUUGAGGGAUUGUUUAUUUCCUGGAUUGUGUAGAGAUUGAUUGUGGUAUUCGUUGAGUUGAUAAGACUUCUAGGAAGUGCGAGGAUUAAUUAUUAAAAAUUAGCCUACUCUUGGCAGGGUCUCGGAGUCCUAGCCUUCCGAUUCGAUAUCGCGGGGCGUCGAUUUCCUUAUUUUUUAUAUGUAUAAAAAGAAAAAGUAACGUAACGCCACCCUACAUUGACUAAACAAUCAAAUUAAUUAAGUGACCGCGUUAGUGCCAAACCCGUAGCGGGCUCGGGAACCGUCGUCAAUUAUGUUAAAUAAAUUAAGCUUAACGAUUUUUACCGUCGAGGAUCAAUACGAGGACUUCCAGUCUCUCGUCCGAAAUUCAUCGAAGUCGUUAUGCAAGUCCUUGGGUAGUUUUAUAUUAAAAACGAGAUAAAAGAAACGAAGUAAUAGGUCUCAGCGUGGUGCCCUUAAGCAAUUAACUGAUUAGUGAUAAAGCUUACGACUCUUCCGAGUGAUUUCUCUUAAGAAAUGCCGAAAAACAAAAUGGCGCCGCCCUUCGCGAGACCUCUUUCUCGCGCUUUCGCCUUAAUUUCCCGUUUUCUCCUCGUCCUUGACACAUCUUAUCGAAGAAGAACCUUGUUAGAAUAUCUUGUUAAAAGUGAUAGGAAGAAAAAUAAGGGCGCACUUUCGCCUUAAUUUCCCCUUUCGACGCGUCUUGUCAUUAAACCUUGUUAAAAAAAGAUCAUAUUAAAAAUGGUAGAAAAAUGAAAAAAAAAUAUAUGAAAACAGCGUCGAGGCCUUUCUCGUGCUCUUUCGCUUUAAUUUCCCCCUUUGUAUUGUCUAUUGGCCUUGACACGUCAAUGACUUCGGUACAGCUUUAAAGGAGGAACGACAAGCCCUUAGCAGCGUAUAUGAAAGGAUAAUGAAUGGCGUCGGUACCGUUUGUAGGUUUGCGGGUACCAAGAGAAAGAGGGAGAGAGAGAAUGCCGGAGUGCCUGAAGACGCAUGAGAGAGACACCUCUAGGUGUGAUCACAAAUAUUUCAGUUAUUUCCCAGACGGGCUCGAAUCGUACGCACGUGGCGCGCCGAAUAUUUAUGUGGCAAUAACCACGUCCCUUUAAAUUUAUCAUCCUCUACCUACACCGUCAAACAAAAAAAAUAUAUUAAGACUUUAUAAGAGCGCACCAUCGACAUAUAUAUUUUUUUCCACUUCUUGAGAACCCCCUCGACGAUUCGCAAAAUUAUCCCCGCGGUAAUUAUUUCCGUACAGCGUGUGAGAAUUAAUUAUAUUGGACAAUAAUGCCCCGCCACGAGGAGGCCCCCCGUCUAGGGAAUAACAAAUUACCGAAUAAGACCCGACUGCAUGGUAAAUUUAGAGAAUUGCGCCUAAGUAUGUAGAAAUUAUCUAUCCGGGUUUAAAUACACGCGAAUACAUGAAGUACGCCGAGGCCGUACGUGCGACAUUGCGAUGUAUGUACAUAGCGACGCGGAAGUAUAUAUGUAUGUACACGGUAUGCACCUACGUGGUAUCAAUAUCUGAUUAGACGCUGUUUCAGGCUCCGUACCCGAGUAUAUUAAUUAUAUACGAGCGAUUACCGUAUACAUACCGAGUGCGCUAAUUACGUAUGAAUUACGUAAACGCGAGCAUGUGCUGAAUUCGCGCCUGCGGAUUAAAUUGCCCCCCCUCAACCUUCCCGAAAAUAAUUAAUUUCCAGUUUAACAGUUGUGCCCACAUUAUGCAAUACCCGAUUCUCCUUCUCAUUGCUAAUUUCAUCCUGUCAAAUUGUCGACACUCCCGUUUGUGGAUUUCCGAGCCUCGUUUCUACGUCGGCGCUUCUCGUAGACUCUCACCUAUACAUAUAUAAAUAGUAUAUAAAUAUAUAAAUAAUUAUAAAUACUAGUAGUGCCAGGUAUAUUGAUCCUGGGAUUUUUUCGAGAUGUCACCCUUUGGGAGAUUCGAAAAUCGACGGAUUUCGAGCUUUAAGACGACUUUUUCGAGGAUUUCACAAUGGGAUUCGGACUGCGGGAACUUUAAGGGGAUGUCAAAGUGACGUUCAAUCUUUCUUCCAAACUUUUUUCCAUACUGGGUCCACCGAAUUGUUUCAAACUUUGCAACGCGAAUGUGGAGGCUUUAGGGAAGGUCCCGACGCCCAUGAAACUUUGAUUUUCUAUACAGAAAUGUUAAGACAUUUUUUAAAAAUUAAAUUCUCAUGGGUGUCGGGACUUUCAUUAAGGCUUUUGUAUUUACAUUGUAAAUUUUGAGGCGAUUCGGUACACCCAGUUCGGGAGGAAAGUUUCAUAAGGGAGAUUUUUGGCGGCACUUUCAUGUCGCCUUAAAGAAGAAUGGGGAAUUUUGGCCAAUUGUUUCCUCUUCAUCUGGUGGAUAACAAUCGUUUCGCGGCACGGUCCGGUCUUAGGCGCUCAAUUUUAUUGUUUCGACAUUAUACAUAUGUUGAUUAUUGCAUAGUUCUAUAUUGACAUAUUUUUUAGCUAGGCGAGGACGAUAGCAGGCACCUUCUGUCGGAUAGGACAUUAGAGUUUAAGGCGGUUUUACAUGAGUAAGCGUAAUGAGGGGUCGCGUUUACGGCCGAGAGAAUGCGCAGAAUUACGGCCGGCGUGGACGUGUAAUUUAAUGUUACUACUGUUUCAACGAGACAAAUAA